GCGCCGUGUGACGGCGGGAGGGACGGGAGGCCGCCCUGACAGCAGCCGCCGCGGCUCGUGCUUCACCUUCACACCUCGAUUUUACUCCACUUCGUCGGGGCUCCGCCUUCGCGGGUAAUAUAAACCCCCAAUCAAACCAGAGAGACACAGACAGCACAUCCCCAGCACUCAUUGGCGAGUCACCUGGAGUGCCUGGACUAUACCAGUUCAAAGUCCGAGGUAUGACUCAAAACAUACAACCUUCUGAUGUGACCGACUGAGCCAACCUGACACUAGAAGCAUCCUGAAGACAUUAUUCAAGCGUCAUUCUUGUAUGUAGCAUAUAUCCGUCGUUCCAUAAAAGGCUGUUGGACCAGAAUAAUCCUCUUCACUGGGAAGACAAAGGUAAAGAAAUAACUACUGAACACGAGCGGAUUUGUAUAAAUGUUUUCUUUCAACAA